AACCUAGCACACCUGCGGUGUGUACCUGCGGAGGGAUCAUUAACCUUUCAAAUCAGGGUGCGGCGCGGCCCCCGAGGAGCGGAAACAAUCCUUGGGAGGUAUGCGGGGGCCUCGAGCCCCCCAUUUACGCACGCACGACUGCCAUCCUUACUUUACGAGCACCUUCUGUUCUCCCUCGGCGGGGCAACCUGCCGUUGGAACCGAAUAAACUCUUUUUGCAUCUAGCAUUACCUGUUCCGA
rnacentral:misc_RNA from 1 species